UGCGGAGGGAUCAUUACACAACAAAAUAUGAAGGCCUGGCUUUCGCGGCCGGCUGAAGUAUUUUUUUCACCCAUGUCUUUUGCGCACUUGUUGUUUCCUGGGCGGGUUCGCCCGCCACCAGGACCAAACCAUAAACCUUUUUUUCUUAUGCAGUUUCCAUCAGCGUCAGUAAAAACAAUGUAAUUAUUACAACUUUCAACAACGGAUCUCUUGGUUCUGGCAUCGAUGAAGAACGCAGCGAAAUGCGAUACGUAGUGUGAAUUGCAGAAUUCAGUGAAUCAUCGAAUCUUUGAACGCACAUUGCGCCCUUUGGUAUUCCAAAGGGCAUGCCUGUUCGAGCGUCAUUUGUACCUUCAAGCUUUGCUUGGUGUUGGGCGUUUUUUUGUCUCCCUCUUUCUGGGAGACUCGCCUUAAAACGAUUGGCAGCCGGCCUACUGGUUUCGGAGCGCAGCACAUUUUUUGCGCUUUGUAUCAGGAGAAAAGGACGGUACUCCAUCAAGACUCUACAUUUUUCACUUUUGACCUCGGAUCAGGUAGGGAUACCCGCUGAACUUAAGCAU
rnacentral:rRNA from 1 species